GUAAACCCUUUUAUAACCCUCUGUACCUGUAACUGCAACUCAGGUGUUCAUUAAUGAUUUGCUUUGAGGUUUUACUUCCUGUAAAGUUGGGCAAAACCUUUUGUUUUCCCCUUUUAUAUACUGAAUAUUCAAAUCCUGAGACAGAGAGAGCCUGGCAACACAGUCAUUUUGUCAUAAACACUGUCAUAAUAAUUAGCACACUGCUCAAAUGACUAUGAAACAUAUGAAAAGUGAAAUAUCUAUGAUGUACACAGUGUUUGCACAUGCUCUACCCUUUUCGUGGACACGUGGAACAACUGUACAGUCACAUGCAGCAGCACAGCCAGACAAAAUGAAUGAUUAAUGAUUGACAGGAUGUCAAAUAGAGUCAGAGUAUUAUAUGGUAUAAAAUAAACGGAUUGCGUCACAACGCUGCGUGCGUCUACAGUGUGCCUUAAGGUGUUUAGUCCGACCGAAGACUUAACUUUAUGGCACAUAGCAACAUAUUUUUCAUAUAUGAAUGUGCUUAUGUAAAACAAUUUGGGUAAUAAGUAGACCCAAAUCUAAUACAUAUUCUGUCAGCUCAGCCCCUAUACGAAGUGUUCGUUGCUGGCACAUGAUCGAGAACCAGAGAGGGGGAAGACAUAGACGCAAGGGAAGGGAUCCAAGACCAAAGGGACAGGCUAAAUUUAUCCGAACAGCUCAGGAUUGGGAUGUCCCCAACCCGGCCGUCUUCAUUACACGGGCAAAGUUCAGACACCUGAAGCAGAGAACGAGAAGGAGAUACAGAGUGACGUGAGUGUGGAACACUGUCACUGUCAUUACUUCAUUCUUAAGAAGAAAUUGUGGGAAUUCAAAAUAUUCUUCAUUUUUUUCUUAAGCUAGGAAAUAAGAAGGAAAUGGCAGUUAAGAAGAAUUUUAUUCUUAAUAAUGUUUUGUGAAUCCAGCCCCAGAUUUUACCAUCGAUCUAAUCUGAUCUUAAACCACGCAAGCAAUCUACGCUGGGAUGUAGAGCUGUGUCUACGUGUGAGAGUGUCUACAGACCUACAAAUAAAAUUAGUUUCUUUACAAUCACUUUAAAGGUGCAUUAAGGAAGAUGUGUAACAGAAAAAGGCCUCUAACUGUUAAAUGGGUGGGGUUGAAUAAGAUUUGAAUGAUAUUUUUUUUACGUCCAGUUUCUACCCAUGUAUGUACACCAAAACGUAUAGGGUGCGUACGAAAUGUACUGCAUUGCCGUUGAAACAGUACGUACUAAUCAGUAUGUAUGUGUAUUAUGACUACAAUCCCGGGCAUUCUACAUCCACCAUGUUAGCAUUGUCAUGUGACCUUCGAUGUCAUCAUAAACACAAAUCUUAAACGAGUUAACGAUUUAUUCGGGUAUUGUUAAACAAGUCCGGUUUAACCAAGAUUUAACACAUAAGAGCCGAUGCUAUCUUCCGCGUUUUUUUCCCCUUCUUCUUUUUCUGAGCUUGUCCGCGCCAGUCCCGUUGCAUUGUGGGAUUGUUUGACUCGCAUAGUGUCCAUCGGUUGCAUACCGCAAAAUCUCGCCGGAAGCAAUACGCCAUCCGGGGAUUUCUCACCUACUGUUUCUCGCAUACUUAGAAUUCGGAUAUACUACCCCUCUGGCGUAGCGCUUUUCGCCUACUAUAUAGUACAUAAGUAUAUGCAGCCAUAGUGGUUCAACUAGUCAUGAAAUUCUAACCUCGAAUACUAUUUAGGACGGAUAGUAGGCGAAUUGUGACUCAGAAGUUGUGAAGGGGUUUUGGGGGCGUGUCUAUAAAAAUGACUGACAAGAGGUUAAUCUAAAUAUAAACAAACAUUCCGGACCGGAAGCCAUGUCCCCCCCCAGCUACGUAAAUGUCGUAAACUAUUUUUUUAAAAAUCAUUUUUUUUAACAUAAUGUAAAUAUUAUUUGUAUUAAUAAGAAACGAAAACGAUUGACGAUUACACCUUUAAUUAUUACACGGUUUCUCGAGGCCUUGAAGCCUCACCCUAAAGAACUUUCGCGUUCGGAAACUUUCACACGCGUCCCAUUGGGCAGAAUAUGAACCGUCGUUGGAAAAACGACGAUUCCAAUUGGUUAGCAGAGAUUGAGCCCGCCCCUUCACUUGCGCGCUAUUGGCUGGAGUCGAAGCUACGGAAGUCGCUCGUCAUCCGUAACCUUUGACGUUGAGGCAGCAGAAGCCAGCUGUUACAAAUCGCGUCACUUCUCGCCAGCUGAUCGGAGACGCCGGCGGAGUGAGACACGCCGAGAAAAGGUGAGCUAUUAGUAGAAAAUAAAUAAAUAAUAACAUAUAAACUUUUACAUUCUUCCAUAAGCUCAUCUCAUCCUCCGCGGUGUGUUCAGUUUGCGAAAUGAAUCUUGCUUGGUGCGUGUAGGAAAGGCGAUAGGAAAUGAAUCGACUCGGAAUCGAGUCACUCGAGGUGGGGCGUUGGUUAAGAUUAAAAAGAAAAAUCAACGCGUCAGGAUUAGUUUUGAUCAUCAUCAUAAAGCCUUGAUUCGUUGUAGCUCGGGUGAUUAAUCGGGUAAACGUUAUAUAAUGCAGGUUCUGGCACACUGUCCAAACUUAGAAAAGAAGAAGAAGAAGAAGAAAAAAAGGCUGAUCAGUAGACUAGGCGGUGCAGAAAAAAAAACUGUCCUAACUCUGUUCACCCUUCCUAAAUCAGUCUAGGUAAUACAACACGGAGGUCAAACUACAUAUUGAGCAACUGGUAACCAUGUGUAAAUGUGGCACAAAUGGAGUCAUGACCUAGCAGAACCUAGAUGAUGAUGAAACUUCGACUUAGUUGGCAUGAAUAACCCUGACAGUAUUUGUGUGACAUUAUUGCUGCUCGGUUGCCAGCGUGUCUGUGUGCUUAGCAGUAUUUUCCUGAUUUGGAUUAGAGGCAUGGACAGAGUGUGUGUCCUUAUGUAAUUCUCUCCAUCUAGCAGUUAGCUAAGAGGAGGAGGAGGAGGAGGAGGAAUGCCAUUUUGUCAGUGGCUCGCUUUCAGUUCUGUGCUAAAGCUGCAGCACACGCUGUGGAAAAUGUCGUCUACUGUCGAGCAGGUCGAGUAAACUCAAUCCUCGAAAGGCGUGUUAAACUUACACCACCUUCUAUGAAGCCUGACAGAUGUAGGAAACACCUGGGUUUCUUUAUUUAUUCAUUUGUUUAUUUAUUAAACGAGUGGGGUACUCACUUCUGAAACUUCAUUUCAGAACCCCGUCGGCUGUCCUUGAACGACUCGUCGUUCUCAUCGUCGUGUCGUCGCUCCGAGAGUACGUCCAAAAUGUGUCGUGUUUCAUGCGGCGUAAUCGCUUGGCCUGCUCCUCAAAUUUGAAACCGAGUACACACCCAGAUUUUGUGGCGUAAAUGAAGAGGAGAACUUUUUCUUUCUUUCUUUUUUUUUUUUUUUUUUUUUUUGUUUUUUUUUUUUUUUUUGUUCGAGACCACGCCCUGCUCCGUUGUUCUUUCAGCGGCAUCUCCGUUGCAAGAUCGUUCCGUACAAGUCGCGCUCGCACGUUCGUGAGGGCUUUUCAUGUUGAACAGAGUAUUAUAGAGAAGCCCCAAGCGCACGUGGUUAGGCCGAGGGUCUCGGGUGUGAAAUCGAUUGAAAAACGGGCGAGGCGAUAAACGUUACCCGAUCGUGCACGUAGAUAGAUCGGUGGUAAUACGUUGACGGUUCUUCAUCCUACUUUACCAGUAGCUCUACUGAUUCUGGUCACCAGACGCAGCAGUCAGGUAUUAGUCAGUCGCCCCGCCCUGGAAAGUAUGUUAGGAAGACGUGGCGCAGGGUUUAAUAACCCUAGGGCUUGGGCGAGAAGGUUGUAAUUGAAAAACCGGUCCGGAAUUGAACGUACUCGUUAAAUUUUAAUCAGGUGAACGCUCAGAUUAAAGGCGAAUCUUCUGAGCGCUCGGUCCGUGACGUCGUCGUUUUGUGUACGUAUUUAACCCCCUCCACUGAUUAUCGUUUAACAGCACAGGAUGACGCGACAGGAUGUUGUCUUUACAGCUAAACGACUCGACUGCAAUCCUGCCUGGAUGUUUUGCACAUCCUUCCUCGAAGAGUCCGUGGCAGGUCAGAGCUCUGUCGUGUCGUCGUUCUGAAUCAGCCCCUGACACGCCGGUACCGCGUCCUUCCUCGAACUGCGGAGCUCGAUCGGUCGAGACGUCUCGGCCGACCUCGAUUCCUGCUCCCUUGCGCCGCCUUUCACUUCGGCAAAAGCGCCACGAGGCCACAGUUCAGGGUGUGGCCGGCCGACGACUCGCCUUCUAAUGAGAUACUGCGCCGUAUCUGUACAUCUUUUUUAUUAAUUAUUUUUUAUGUCGUUAUACGUGCUCAGGAUAUGAGAUCGGAUUCCAGCUAAAAGAAGAGCGGUUUAGGGUUUAGCUGGGUGACCUAAAAGUUUCCUAUUUUUCAGUCCACGCAUUGCAGGGUUGCAGCCACAACCGUUAUGUCAAUCGAUCGACCGAUGACCGGAGCAGCGCGGACGGAAUUAAUGCAGACGCUCUCGAUUUAUCGAUCUCUUAUUACCGCCGUCCAGCUGAUGCGUCACAGUUGUUCAUGAUUAAGAUUUCACCGUGUUUACUAUAGUUACGGAUGAGUAAUGCAGAGAGUGGAUUUGAUUUAUUUGUUGUUCGUCAGCCUGGAACAUUUUAUGACUCAAAGCCAGAUCAGGACGCAGCUGGUCUGUUAGGAGGUCAUGCGUCGUUCUUUAUAACGCUGAGUGGUGUUUUUUUUUUUUUUUGUAAAAGCACAAAGGCUCGGUGGCGUGUAUGGCUGGCGUGCUGACGCAGAGAGCUUUAUCUCGUCCUGUGCCGUUCCUGUGUCUGCCUGCUUAUUGAUGUCUGUGCCUGAGCAGGGGGAGGGGUGAGGACACGCACAAAAAAAAAAAAAAAAAAAAAAAAGUGAAGCAAAAUAACCGCAGGUUACUACCAAAGGGAAGAAAUAAGGUUGGGAAGGGGAACGAGAAUGAUCCAGCACAGGUUGUGGAAGUGCUAUGAUUCAGCAGAUCUGAUUCGUCUUCAGCGACGGACUGAUUUAAUGUGCUUUCGCGAGCAUGACGCAUCAUAACCUCGAUACAGUCUUGUUGUUGUACGGUUAAGAUCUGCUGCUUCUUGUAGUCAUUUGUGGACCGGAUUAGUGAUGACGCCGGAACGAGGAAGGCGGCCCACGAGGAUUUGAGUAAGAUAUCUGCGAUUUAAAUGCGAUAUACACAAUAUACAGUGCCGUCUGGGCCCUGGAAUUUCUACCGACGUCCUUGGACGAGAAUUAACUCGAAGAAACAUUUUUCCUCUGAACUCUCUAGAGUUUUGGAGAAAAUAAGUGAAAACCCGUCCCCGGACGGAGCGCGUGAGCCGAACAGGCAGAGGAGCGCGUGAGGAAUUUCUGACAUGUGCAGGAGGAAUCUCCAGAAUUCCUGGCAUUCUCGACGCUCUGUUCGCGGAAGGAAAGGGGAGACUCUUUACGGGACAUCGAGAGCGCUGUUUGCCUUUAGUGGGGUUUUUUUUUUUAACAUUUCUUUUUUUCUCAGCGUAUUAAAUCCAGCUGUUCGGUGCUUUGAAACCAUCUUGGAUGCCUGUACGCCGAUGAGCGCAGUUAGAAUGAAAGUGCUUAAUGGGAGCGAGAAGCCAUCUCGAGUGUCUGGAAACAGCGGUCGGCUUUCUCCUUCAGUGGUGUUUACGAACACGUUUUCCCACACUGGUUAUACUUCAGGUCAUACGUAAAUGGUGUAUUAGGGCUGCACGCGAAAUCGCGUUCUUAAAGCGACCUCGAGUCGUCGGAUGCAAGUCGAUUCAAGGGCGGAGUCCAUUCUGGAGCGUUUGCCUUCAGGGAGGAGUAUUCAGGACCGGAGAAGAUGGAUCGGGUCAUCGAGUAACUCUUGGCUAACCUACAUCAGUUCUUCUCUGGCAAACUUUAUGUUCGUAUUCACAUGCUAAAGCUGCCAGCUGAAGAGCUGUUGUGGUCAGCUUUGUCCUGCUGCUGCCUUCCAGACUUUUCAAGCAUGUCAGGCUGGGGAGGCUGGAUUCAUCUUUCUAAAGUGCAUGUGUAAAAAAAAAAAAAAUUAGUAAUGAGUAAUACAUACCAGCAGAAGCUAUUAUUAAAUUAAACACUCUGUAGGAAAAUAGUUUAAAAAACACUGUACACGCGAGAUCUUCUCCUGAUUUCCAUCAGCUGUAGCACUCAUUUAAAUACAGUGUCUUGUGUAAUCAUUCAACCCCCCACCCCCGAAAUGUUACUUCACACAAAAGGUUUAACAUUCGAAGGUAAAUCAUUUUUCAUUCUCACCCAAAGGUUAAUAAACAAACAAGUAACCAAACAAACAGAAAACCCAGCACCCCGUGUCAAUACCUCUCUGCCUCAGAUCUUUUGGGAUAUGUUUCUGGAUCCUGAUAUUUUUCUCCAUUCUUCAUUUCAAAAAGCUCUGCCAUGUUGGAUAGAGACCGUUUUUCAAGUCUUGCCACGUAUUCUGAAUCGGAUUGCAGUCUCCGCUUCGACUGGGCCAUUCAGACGUAUUGUAAGUAUGUCGAUCGUUUUAAACCGUUCUACAACGUGACUCUACCGCCACCGUGCUUCACUGUAGGGACGGCGUUCUUGCCGAGUUUCCACCAACUGUAGUGCUUUUGUGCGGCGACUCAGACUAGAGAAGCAUUUUACACACGUUUGCCGAGUCUUCGGCUCUCUAAAAGGGAUCCCAUAUGACCCGCUCGCUCUUCCGUAGCCCGGCUUUGUGGCGUGUCCGGGGUGUGGUAGGUCCUGUGAAAACUUUCUCCCCUAUGAGAGGUGGAUCGCUUGACCCUUGACCUUUUGCUCGCUUCUCUGACGAACGCUCUCCUUAUCCGGUCACCGAUUUUGGAUGGACUGCAGCCUGUGUUGAGUCAUGGUCUCUAACAAGCGUAAGCUAACAUUGUUAUUGCUAAGCCUUAACGGUGACACCAUGUGGUUAAAUCACAUGACGCAGUUUUACAGAGGCCGUGCGGGCAAGAUGCAAAGAGCAAAGCAAGUUCAAUUACGUAAGGUUUUGCUAACUUAAUCAGGGCUGUAAGACUUGUAAACUAAAAUAUUCUUGCUCAUAUGUAUAUUAUGAAAUUGUAUAUACGGUAUACUCAUAAAAUAAGUUGUAUUGGUAAAUUAGUUUUUUAUAUAUAUAUAUAUUUUUUUUUUUAAAAAAGGAAGGUAGUUAUGAAAAGUUUGUAGAAAUACGAGACCGUAUCUUUCAGGUCUUCUGGGAUAGUUCUAGCUGCUGUUUAUAUGGAGGAAACGUGCAUUUUUAAUACGCUUGUGUAAUUAUAGAAGCAAAGAAAUUACAAAGUGUUCUUUUACAUCAUUAAUUUGACCUUAUUGACUCCUGUAAACUUUUUUUUAUUAUUUUUUAAUGUAAAUAAAUACCAUUUACCACAGCAACAAUGAAUUCAUGAUUCUGAUUGGUUAGAAAAUGUUGAUUUUAAAGAGUGUGUCCGCCCCUACUCCUGCUAAUUCACCGAGUCACAGGGUAGUGCUCGAGAGAGGACGGAUUGUUGGUAACGUCGAGGUUUUCCAUGAAGUGGAUCCGGACGGUGAAGACGGAUUUGUUGUCUGUACAAACCGUCCCAAUAGUUUCACUCAAAAAUGGUUUAUGACGUCAAAACGUGACGGUAUGCAAAUUAAAUGCUAGUGCGAGUCCUCUGGAGAUGCAGACUACAGCUAAAACCAAAGGCUGAAUCUCAAAUCCGGUAUUGUUUUUGGCGUUGGUGUUUAUCAAUGCGAUCUUCCUAAUCAGUAGGAUAAACGCGCUCGGCACAAAACAUCGAACAAUUUGGCUGUCAGUAGUGUUGUUUUUUAACAGAUAAAUAACGUAGCUGUCGUUAUAACGGUCAUUUUCAUAAUUUAACCAGCCCGCAGGUUCUAAGGCAUCCAUGAUGCUGUGAGUGUGUGAAUGGGAACACUGGUGCUUCGAUGCAUGGAACACUUAGCGCUAAUACAGAUGAGUGAAAGCACUUCAGAAACGCUACAGGCUUCGGAAACACUUCGCACAACGUGAUCAUUCCCGUCCAUAAACAAAGUUCAUCUUCAUUAUUUCUAAUCAACCCUCCUUUGUUUUUGGCUCUUCCCCUUUUUCACUCCAUUUCCUGUAAGUUCCGGUUUUAAACAUGCCACACUGCCACCUAGUGUACAUACACAUACAAGUAUUGCCC
ensembl:lncRNA